CAGAGCGAACGCUGGCGGCAGGCCUAACACAUGCAAGUCGAACGGACCCUUCGGGGUUAGUGGCGGACGGGUGAGUAACACGUGGGAACGUGCCUUUAGGUUCGGAAUAGCUCCUGGAAACGGGUGGUAAUGCCGAAUGUGCCCUUCGGGGGAAAGAUUUAUCGCCUUUAGAGCGGCCCGCGUCUGAUUAGCUAGUUGGUAAGGUAAUGGCUUACCAAGGCGACGAUCAGUAGCUGGUCUGAGAGGAUGAUCAGCCACAUUGGGACUGAGACACGGCCCAAACUCCUACGGGAGGCAGCAGUGGGGAAUCUUGCGCAAUGGGCGAAAGCCUGACGCAGCCAUGCCGCGUGAAUGAUGAAGGUCUUAGGAUUGUAAAAUUCUUUCACCGGGGACGAUAAUGACGGUACCCGGAGAAGAAGCCCCGGCUAACUUCGUGCCAGCAGCCGCGGUAAUACGAAGGGGGCUAGCGUUGCUCGGAAUUACUGGGCGUAAAGGGCGCGUAGGCGGAUCGUUAAGUCAGAGGUGAAAUCCCGGAGCUCAACUUCGGAAUUGCCUUUGAUACUGGCGAUCUUGAGUGUGAGAGAGGUAUGUGGAACUCCGAGUGUAGAGGUGAAAUUCGUAGAUAUUCGGAAGAACACCAGUGGCGAAGGCGACAUACUGGCUCAUUACUGACGCUGAGGCGCGAAAGCGUGGGGAGCAAACAGGAUUAGAUACCCUGGUAGUCCACGCCGUAAACGAUGAUUGCUAGUUG
rnacentral:rRNA from 1 species